GGCCUCAAGUGAUGUGUGACUACCCCCUAA
rnacentral:rRNA from 2 species